rnacentral:rRNA from 1 species
UGAAAAGAACCCCGAACAGGGGAGUGAAAAGAACCUGAAACCGUGUGCUUACAAGCGGUCGGAGCGGACGAGUUCCGUGACGGCGUGCCUUUUGCAUAAUGAGCCUACGAGUUACUCUUGUCUGGCAAGGUUAAGCGGUUCAGCCGCGCAGCCGAAGCGAAAGCGAGUCUUAAUAGGGCGCAUAGUCAGAUGAGGUAGACGCGAAACCUUGUGAUCUACCCUUGGGCAGGUUGAAGUUGCAGUAACAUGUAAUGGAGGACCGAACCGAUAAACGUUGAAAAGUUUCCGGAUGACCUGAGGGUAGGGGUGAAAGGCCAAUCAAACUGGGAAAUAGCUCGUACUCCCCGAAAUGUUUUUAGGAACAGCGUGAGAAUAGAGUCUAGCAGAGGUAGAGCUACCGAUUGGGUGCGGGGGAGUCAAAUCCUACCAAAUCCAGACGAACUCCGAAUGCUGUUAGAUAUGUCUUGCAGUGAGGCUCUGGGUGCUAAGGUCCAGGGCCGAGAGGGAAAGAACCCAGACCAUCGGCUAAGGUCCCCAAAUGUAGUCUAAGUUGAACUAACGAGGUCCGGUUGCCCAGACAGCUAGGAUGUUGGCUUGGAAGCAGCCAUUCAUUUAAAGAGUGCGUAACAGCUCACUAGUCGAGCGGCCGGGCGUGGAUAAUAAACGGGCAUCAAGAUUACUACCGAAGCCAUGGAUUCAUACAGCGAUGUAUGUCUGGUAGGGGAGCAUUCCAUCGGGGGCGAAGCAGCAUGGCAAUGUGCUGUGGACCUUAUGGAAAAGCAAAUGUAGGCAUAAGUAACGAUAAGGCGGGUGGGAAACCCGCCCACCGAAAGACUAAGGUUUCCUGAUCAACGCUAAUCGGAUCAGGGUUAGUCGGGGCCUAAGGUACACCCGAACGGGGAUAACCGAUGGACAACUGGUCAAUAUUCCAGUACUUUUUAUAACUGCGAUGUGGUGACGGAGUAGUGACACUGCCGCGGACUGACGGAAUAGUCCGUUGAAAGGCGUAGGUAUAGGGACGGUAGGCAAAUCCGCCGACCCUGCUGAAACCCAAUAGUACAGCAAAGCUCCGGCGGCGCUGAUAGAGCAGGUAAACAGACUUCCAAGAAAACCCGCUAAGCUCCAGGUUAUAAAAACCCGUACCGUAAACCGACACAGGUAGUCGAGGAGAGGAUCCUAAGGUGCUCGAGUGAAUCAUGGCUAAGGAACUCGGCAAAAUGGCCCUGUAACUUCGGGAGAAGGGGCGCUUCCUCACGAGAGUGAGAAGCCGCAGUGAAAAGGCCCAGGCGACUGUUUAACAAAAACAUAUGGCUUUGCGAAAUCGCAAGAUGAGGUAUAAGGCCUGACACCUGCCCGGUGCUGGAAGGUUAAGAGGGGAUGUCAUCGCAAGAGAAGCAUUGAAUCGAAGCCCCAGUAAACGGCGGCCGUAACUAUAACGGUCCUAAGGUAGCGAAAUUCCUUGUCGGGUAAGUUCCGACCUGCACGAAUGGUGUAACGAUCUGGGCGCUGUCUCAGCCAUGAGCUCGGUGAAAUUGUGGUAUCGGUGAAGACGCCGAUUACCCGCAACGGGACGGAAAGACCCCAUGCACCUUCACUAUAGCUUAACAUUGGAAUUGGGUACAGGAUGUGUAGGAUAGGCGGGAGAUGUUGAAGUGGCUUCGCCAGGAGCCAUGGAAUCGACCUUGAAAUACCGCCCUUUCUGUAUCCGGUUUCUAACUCGAUCAUGUCGAGGACAUUGUUUGGUGGGUAGUUUGACUGGGGUGGUCGCCUCCAAAAAGGUAACGGAGGCUUUCAAAGGUAAGCUCAGUACGCUUGGUAACCGUACGCGGAGUGCAAUGGCAUAAGCUUGCUUGACUGUGAGACCGACAAGUCGAACAGGGUCGAAAGACGGACAUAGUGAUCCGGUGGUUCUGUAUGGAAGGGCCAUCGCUCAA